GACGAACGCUGGCGGCGUGCUUAACACAUGCAAGUCGAACGGAAAGGCCCUGCUUUUGUGGGGUGCUCGAGUGGCGAACGGGUGAGUAACACGUGAGUAACCUGCCCUUUACUUUGGGAUAACUUCAGGAAACUGGGGCUAAUACCGGAUAGGAGCUCCUGCUGCAUGGGGGGGGUUGGAAAGUUUCGGCGGUUGGGGAUGUACUCGGGGCUUAUCAGCUUGUUGGGGGGGUGGUGGCUUACCAAGGCUUGGACGGGUGGCCGGCCUGGCAGGGUGACCGGCCCCAUGGGCCGUGGGAGGCGGCCGAGGGGCAUAUUGGGGGAAGGGGGGGGGACUAUGCCAAAAGGGGCGGAGGCGUGAAGAAGGAUCGCCGGGUGCGGAAGGACGGCGUUCGGGUGGAAAGGGGGUUAGGCUGGGAAGGAGGGGUAGUGACGGUAACUGGGGAAAAAGGCACGGCUAACUACGUG
rnacentral:rRNA from 1 species